rnacentral:rRNA from 1 species
UACGAGGGGGGCAAGCGUUGUUCGGAAUUAUUGGGCGUAAAGGGCGCGUAGGCGGUGCGGUAAGUCACCUGUGAAAACUCUGGGCUCAACUCAGAGCCUGCAGGCGAAACUGCCGUGCUUGAGUGUGGGAGAGGUGCGUGGAAUUCCCGGUGUAGCGGUGAAAUGCGUAGAUAUGUGGAGGAACACCGAUGGCGAAGGCAGCCCCCUGGGUCAAGACUGACGCUCAUGCACGAAAGCGUGGGGAGCAAACAGG